UGCCGGCCCACGCAGGCGCUCUGUGUUUACAGUGCUUGUUUGUAGGUAAGAAUUCCUGUUUGACUGGUGCUGGAAAAUGCUACAUUUUCUGGUCUAAGAACUAAAAAGCAGGGAAAGAACUGCCAGGACCUGAUUCGGAAAUAAGGCUCCACUUCCGGAAGCAACAGCGCUCAGGGUGAUUUCUGAGAUUUGGUUGGAGGGAGUGUGGUAUGGAUAUUCCAUUUGGAGCUGAGUACUGCCUCUUAUUCUGUGCACUUGACCACUUGUAAGGAAACAUUAAUUGCCAUCUACUUCAGAGAAAAGCUUCUCUGAUGAGAGUUGGAAAAUGCUCUAAUCUAUGGAUAUAGAGAUAAGAGAAAAUCCUUUACUUGAAAUCUGGAUGUGGUGUGAAGAAAGCUGCUUUGGUUGCUAUGACAUCGCUACCUGCUUUAGGAAGUGCUUCUCCCUCUAGAGGGCAGUGCUCCACUUCUGCAUCCCAAACCUUGGAAGUAGGGCUGCCUUCCUGAAAGGCUGGAUGUGGUUCCUGUGGCUCAUCGCCUCAAAACAGAAAAUAUUCAUGAUGAUUACAAUUCCCAUAAGCUAAUAUUUGAUUUGUAAUUUUAAGGGCAAUUUCUUUGGCUUUUCUUCUGUCCUUUCUAAGAAUGUGUAGAAGGUGCUUAACCUAUACUCCACAUUUAGUUUAUAACUGGAUCUAUUUUCUGAAAAAUACCCCUAAAAUCUAUUUCUCUUAAGGUUCCUUAUAUUUGUCACUAGACAUGCUUAUGAAACAAAAAAUUUAAAAAUCCAACUAAAAUAAAAUCCCAGAGAAUUCUA